GAUGAACGCUGGCGGCGUGCUUAACACAUGCAAGUCGAACGGGAAUUAUUUUAUUGAAACUUCGGUCGAUUUAAUUUAAUUCUAGUGGCGGACGGGUGAGUAACGCGUGGGUAACCUGCCUUAUACAGGGGGAUAACAGUCAGAAAUGGCUGCUAAUACCGCAUAAGCGCACAGAGCUGCAUGGCUCAGUGUGAAAAACUCCGGUGGGAUAAGAUGGACCCGCGUUGGAUUAGCUGGUUGGUGGGGUAACGGCCCACCAAGGCGACGAUCCAUAGCCGGCCUGAGAGGGGGAACGGCCACAUUGGGACUGAGACACGGCCCAGACUCCUACGGGAGGCAGCAGUGGGGAAUAUUGCACAAUGGGGGAAACCCUGAUGCAGCGACGCCGCGUGAAGGAAGAAGUAUCUCGGUAUGUAAACUUCUAUCAGCAGGGAAGAUAGUGACGGUACCUGACUAAGAAGCCCCGGCUAACUACGUG
rnacentral:rRNA from 1 species